rnacentral:rRNA from 1 species
AUUGAACGCUGGCGGAAUGCUUUACACAUGCAAGUCGAGCGGCAGCACGGGGGCAACCCUGGUGGCGAGCGGCGAACGGGUGAGUAAUACAUCGGAACAUGCCCAGUCGUGGGGGGAUAACACUUCGAAAGAAGUGCUAAUACCGCAUACGUCCUGAGGGAGAAAGCGGGGGAUCGCAAGACCUCGCGCGAUUGGAGUGGCCGAUGUCAGAUUAGCUAGUUGGUGGGGUAAAGGCCUACCAAGGCAACGAUCUGUAGCUGGUCUGAGAGGAUGAUCAGCCACACUGGGACUGAGACACGGCCCAGACUCCUACGGGAGGCAGCAGUGGGGAAUUUUGGACAAUGGGGGGCAACCCUGAUCCAGCCAUUCCGCGUGAGUGAAGAAGGCCUGGUGUAAGCUCUUCUAGCAGGAACGAAACGGACGAGUACUAAUACUAGCUCGCUAAU